CUGAUUUUUGUCUAGCAGUUAUAAGAUUUGAGAGUUUGUGUUUUGGCUGUACAAAAGAAAUAAAAGCUAAAUUAAAGUUACUCGAGAUGAAAUCAAGAAAGUGUUAUGCUUUAUUUCAGAACGACAGCUCAAGUGUUGAUAAUAUAUACAUGAGUUUGGCUUUAGGUCCAAAAUUGCUAAAAUUAGAUUCACUCCAUGUUUUUCUUUUCUGCACUUCAUAUAAAUUCUUUAUCACAUAGCAAAAUAUGUGCUUUAAGGCAAAUACAAGCAAGUCUGAAAACAAAAGGCGCAUCAUAAGAUGCCAAAUACAAUAAAGCAACAUGCUUAUCCUUUCUAAUAAAGAGCCUAUGU
rnacentral:lncRNA from 1 species